AUCCUUUAGGGUUAAAGUAGUGGGAUGGUGUUGGAUCCUUUAGGGUUAAAGUAGUGGGAUGGUGUAGGAUCCUUUAGGGUUAAAGUAGUGGGAUGGUGUAGGAUCCUUUAGGGUUAAAGUAGUGGGAUGGUGUAGGAUCCUUUAGGGUUAAAGUAGUGGGAUGGGAUGGUGUAGGAUCCUUUAGGGUUAAAGUAGUGGGAUGGUGUUGGAUCCUUUAGGGUUAAAGUAGUGGGAUGGUGUAGGAUCCUUUAGGGUUAAAGUAGUGGGCUGGGAUGGUGUAGGAUCCUUUAGGGUUAAAGUAGUGGGCUGGGAUGGUGUAGGAUCCUUUAGGGUUAAAGUAGUGGGAUGGUGUAGGAUCCUUUAGGGUUAAAGUAGUGGGAUGGUGUAGAAUCCUUUAGGGUUAAAGUAGUGGGAUGGUGUUGGAUCCUUCAGGGUUAAAGUAGUGGGAUGGUGUAGGAUCCUAUAGGGUUAAAGUAGUGGGAUGGUGUAGGAUCCUUUAGGGUUAAAGUAGUGGGAUGGUGUUGGAUCCUUUAGGGUUAAAGUAGUGGGAUGGGAUGGUGUAGGAUCCUUUAGGGUUAAAGUAGUGGGAUGGUGUAGGAUCCUUUAGGGUUAAAGUAGUGGGCUGGGAUGGUGUAGGAUCCUUUAGGGUUAAAGUAGUGGGAUGGUGUAGGAUCCUUUAGGGUUAAAGUAGUGGGAUGGUGUAGGAUCCUUUAGGGUUAAAGUAGUGGGAUGGGAUGGUGGGUUUGAGGGGAUAGUGUAUA
ensembl:lncRNA